rnacentral:rRNA from 1 species
GCCAGCAGCCAUAUCACCCUGCAACUCACAACUGGGAGCCCACUGAAGCUAAGUACAGUAGGUGUGAGCCUGGUCAGUACCUGGAUGGGAGACCUCCGGGGAAAACUAAGGUUGCUUCUGGAA